rnacentral:lncRNA from 1 species
ACACUUCAGUUUCCGCCUUCUGCUCACGGACUGCAGAGACAAGACGUUCUUCAAGACAAUGCUGUUCAUCUUUGUAAGUAGAAUAGUUUAAUGAAAUGUCAGCUCUUGUGUGCUUUUCAUUUUGCAUUUUUGACUUGUGUUAUAUUCCCUUAUAAGUCCCAGAGAAAGGAGAGAGGAGCAGAGAUGAGUUUAACUGCAGCAGUGAGUGGAUUCAUCCUUCUCCUCUCUGUAUCAGGUACUUCAUUUCUACAGCUUUUCCUCUUCACUCUGAGAAACCUGCAGCCUCUUUUUAAUUUGAUCAAAAACAGACUCUGUUUGCAGAACCUGCAGUUUUUUCUCCAAAAUUCAGAUUGUAAUUUGCUGUAUUGAAAUCAGUUUUUGAAUUUUUGUGGAUACUAGUUUUGCAGUCAGGCUAGUGUCUCAGGGACUCAUUUAUCACAACACAUCUGCAACAAGCCUGUGUGUUCCUCUUCAUAGGUGUUAUAUUUCCAUGCUGAUGCUGCAUUGACAGCACUUAUCUAAUCAUUGAGUAUUAGCUGCUGUACAGUUUCUCACCCCUUAGACUUCUGCAUUUAUUUUUAGAUACACACUUGACUGGGCAGCUAACUUUGCACAGAGAAAACUUUCACAGAACAGCACAAUCUGUCAAAUAAUUUACACUGUUAAUAAUGCUGUUGGGUUAGAGAAGUGUUCAUGAAUAUAAACAUCUGUAAUUUUUCAGUAUGGAUAAAUCUUCUCUCAGAUAUUUUGAUAAGUAGUUUAAAAUCUAAUAUCAAACAGAGAAAAAAGCUAAACCUGACAAAAAUAUCUUACAUGUGAUUGUUAUAUCAAGAUGAUGUCGGACUGCACCUCAAUGAUCUGGUUCAGAUUUAUUUAUUUCAUGUUCAGUCUUAAACUUUUCCUGGUCUGGUUAAAUUGACUGUGUUCUCUGAUUUUUGUGUUUUAGUGGCUCAGCCUCAGAACGGCUGGGAGGUGACAUACUCUAAAACUCAGAUCUGUGUCUCCAGAGGAUCAACUGUGGAAAUAAGCUGCAACUUUAAGUACCCAAAAACAAUGGAGAGGAAGCAGAACAAACUCUUAAAAACAUUUUGGUUUAUCAGGAGACGUGGUGAUGAGCUUCUAAACAUUGAAACAGACUCAGAGUAUUCAGGUCGUGUGAAGACCACGCAUGAUGGGACCAGAUCCACCCUAACAAUCACAAACCUGACAGGGAGUGACUCAGCUGAAUACAUGUUCAGGAUGGAGACAAGCCUGGACAAAUAUUCUGGCUACCCAGGUGUCACCCUGUCUGUGAGAGGUAGUUUUCUGUGAAAUGUCUCAUCCUUUACCUUUUUGAAAAUCGUGUAAAUGAUUAUAUUAUGUGUAUGUUUAUGUGGAAAGUACUGACAGUUUUAUCUGAUCAGAUGUCCAGAUAAGGGUGAACAGAUCACGUGGGCAUUUGCAGUUGAAGUGUCUCAGCCGUUGUCGUCAAGAUUUUCGAUACAUUUGGUUCAUGAAUGGAGAAAAAAUUAAGAACCAAAAUUCAAAAUAUCAUCAACCAGACCAGACUCUGAACACAGACAGAUUUUCCUGUGCUGUAGAAGGAUAUGAGGACUUCCCCUCUCCUUCAGUGUGUGAGUUUACCCCUCCCUUUCCUCUAACACAACACUAUCUGAUGGAGGUUUUAAAAUUUGGUGCGUGCCCUGACUCUCUGGUCUGUGGCUAACAUUUCCACUUUAAAAAACAUCUCAUAUCUGUGAUGCUCAGAGUAAAAACUCAAUAGUAAAGAGUUGUUAAAGGACAGAGAGCAUAAACCAAGUACAUCAGUGACUGAAAUGUUAACUGUAAAAUGUGUUUCUUCUUCAGAUGCUUUCGAGCCUCCCUCUGUGUCAGUGAGUUCCUCUGCUGAGAUAAUGGAGGGAAAAAAUGUGACUCUGACCUGCAGCAGUGAUGCUAAUGUAGAAUCCAGUUAUACCUGGUAUCAAAGAAAUGAACCUCUAUAUCCUCUGCGUCUCAGGAGAGGACCUCAGCUUGUCUUCAGCUCCAUCAAGUCCUCAGACUUUGGACAGUAUUACUGUGAAGUGAGGAACACCUUUGGGACACAGAUAUCGGGGAACAUCUUGGCUGGUUUGACAUGUGUGUGAAACAUCACAGUUCAAACACAUUAGAAAGACAAUAAACUACACAACAAUACCUCAAAACAGUUUUAUCCUGUAUUUGAACAAAAAGCACUAAGACAAAAUUUCUUCUUUUAUAUGUUUAUUUGCAAGUUUAAUUUACCAACUUUGAUUAAAUCCAUUUCCAGAUGAUCCAAAACGUCCCUCUGUGUCAGUGAGUCCCUCUGCUGAGAUAGUGGAGGGUAAACAUGUGACUCUGACCUGCAGCAGUGAUGUUAAGCCAGAUGCUACUUAUACCUGGUACAGAAGAAGUGGACGUCUAAGUCUGAGUCUCAGAAAAGGAAAUCAGCUUGUCUUCAGCUCCAUCCAGUCCUCAGACUCUGGACAGUAUUACUGUAAAGUGAGGGGCAUCACCAGGUCCUCUAGGGACGUCUUAGUUUAUGUGAAAUGUGAGUAAAAAGUCACAUUUAAGGAUCAACAUAAGGAUGAAAACCAUACACAACCAUAUCCCAGAACAUUUUUUUAUUCUGUUUCUUUGUCAUUUCUGUUUUUAUCCGUCUUCAGAUGCUCCAAAGUUCUCUUACGUGUCUGUGAGUCCCUCUUCUGAGAUAGUGGAGGGCAGUUCAGUGACUCUGACCUGUAUCAGUUAUGCCAACCCAGCACCACGUUCCACCUGGUACAAGGAGAACAACACCACGUUUCAGUCAACAGGAGGAAUUUAUACUUUUCUCAACAUCAGCCAUCUGGACAGAGGGAGAUACAACUGCAGAUCUGAGAAUCAAUAUGGAUCACAUGUAUCUCCCCCUCUCUCACUAGAUAUCCAGUGUGAGUAGAAGACAUUACAAAGUUAGAUCACCUGGUACAAAACUCUUCUUAAUGGCUUAAGUCUCCAUGUAAAGUUUUCUUUCGAUCUCCUCCAGAUGCUCCAAAACGUCCCUCUGUGUCAGUGAGUCCCUCUGCUGAGAUAGUGGAGGGUAGUUCAGUAAAUCUGAUCUGCAGCAGUGAUGCUAACCCUGCAGCUACUUAUACCUGGUACAAAGAGAAUGAAGACUCAGCAAACGCUUCAGGACAGACCUUCACCAUCACUGAGUUCAGAGCUAAUCACAGUGGGAAUUAUUACUGUGAAGCCCGGAACAAAAUAGGACACCAGAAAUCCAGCCCACAUCAGAUUGUUGCAGCAGGUGAGAUGUUUACACACCUGCACACAGAGAGCUUACCCAGAAUACUCAAAGCAGCUCAUGAUAUGUUUGAUUAAUUAAUUAAUUUUUUCCUUCACAAACAUGUUUUCUCUGAAUCAGAUCUUAAAACUGACUAAAGUGAAUAAUUCAUGGAGGGACCUCCAUGUCAGAUUCUGGCUCAACAGAGUCUCAGACAGAGCUAAAGAUAUAGACCAGUCUGAUUCUGUUAGUAAUGUGUCUCACAUAUCUCUCUUCUUUCAUUCAAGGGAAAUCAACAAUAACAACCAUAAUUAGCAUCAGGUUGACCCUGUUCUUUUUGAUGUUGAUUCCUCCACCUCUUGUGAGUCUGUUGACAAGGUAAAACCAUAAAACUCCAUCAAUUCAAACACAUUUCUUUUAUGAGCUUCUUCACUUGGUUCAUAGUUUAAUUUCUUUUCUCUCUAUUAUUGUAAAACUAACUUUUCUCAAAUGUAAUAAUCCAGGAAGAAGAAACCUCUGAACUCCAACACUGAACCAAGUGAACCUGCAGAGAUGAUAGAGGUGAGACCGACUGCUGACAAAACAUCUUUACAGACCUGUUCAAAGAUGUCAGGAUCAAAGUUUCAAAAUGGGACUAAAAUACUUUCAAAGAUGAUCAACUCUCUUCAUCUGUCCUCAGCUGGACUCUGCUCAUGAGAAUGAGAAAGUCUCAGCGGUCACUGCAGCACAGACUGAAGACAUAGAGGAGCAGGAAGACAGGGUGUGAAAUCCAGUCAGGGUGGGGUGUCUCCAGUGGUGCUGAUGGUGUACUGGUCCCAUAACUAGACUGGAGUCUCCUGUUGAGCGGUUGCUGGUUCAACUCCCGCCCAUGAUCCUUUGCUGCACAUGUUCUCUCAGUCAAAAAUAAGACGUUUCAAACUCUUACUUUUGUCAUGUUGGUUAAGUUUCCUUUAUUUUUGCACAUUCAUGUUUUGUUUCAUGUCAUGUAUUUCCUGUUUUAUUUUGUAGUUCACCAACUCUUGUUUCUGUCUUCUAGCUUUGUUCCUGUCUGGUCUGCCCUCGUUUUGUCACACCUGCUGCCUGAUUGUGUUUCCCCACCUGUUCCCCAUCACCCUCACUACCUCUUGUAUUUAAUCUCAUGCAUCUCACUGUCUCGUCACCAGUUCGUUGCACUUUAUAGUCACGUUCCAGCAUUAUGCAUAGUUUUAGUCAAGUCAUGUAUUACCUUUGCCUGCUUUAUUUCUGACCUUGCCUUUUUACAAUAAAUCCUUGUCUUUUGGACCAACUGA